AUUGAACGCUGGCGGCAGGCCUAACACAUGCAAGUCGAGCGAGCGGCGGACGGGUGAGUAAUGUCUGGGAAACUGCCUGAUGGAGGGGGAUAACUACUGGAAACGGUAGCUAAUACCGCAUACCAUCAGAUGUGCCCAGAUGGGAUUAGCUAGUUGGUGGGGUAACGGCUCACAAAGGCGACGAUCCGUACCUGGUUUGAGCGGACGACCGGCCACACUGGGACUGAGAACCGGCCCAGACUCCUACGGGAGGCAGCAUUGGGGAAUUUUGGACAAUGGGGGAAACCCUAAUCCAGCCAUCCCGCGUGUGCGAUGAAGGCCUUCGGGUUGUAAAGCACUUUUGGCAGGAAAGCGGUACCUGCAGAAUAAGCACCGGCUAACUACGUGCCAGCCGCCGCGGUAAUAC
rnacentral:rRNA from 1 species